rnacentral:rRNA from 1 species
UGCAGGCUGCAACUCGCCUGCAUGAAGUCGGAAUUGCUAGUAAUCGCAGAUCAGCAUGCUGCGGUGAAUACGUUCCCGGGCCUUGUACACACCGCCCGUCACACCAUGGGAGUCGGUAAUACCCGAAGUCAGUAGUCCAACCUCGUGAGGACGCUGCCGAAGGUAGGAUUGGCGACUGGGGUGAAGUCGUAACAAGGUACC